GCAAGUCGAGCGGUAACAGGAAUUAGCUUGCUAAUUCGCUGACGAGCGGCGGACGGGUGAGUAAUGCCUAGGGAACUGCCCAGUCGAGGGGGAUAACAGUUGGAAACGACUGCUAAUACCGCAUACGCCCUACGGGGGAAAGGAGGGGACCUUCGGGCCUUUCGCGAUUGGAUGUACCUAGGUGGGAUUAGCUAGUUGGUAAGGUAAUGGCUUACCAAGGCGACGAUCUCUAGCUGGUUUGAGAGGAUGAUC
rnacentral:rRNA from 1 species